AACGCACGAGACCUGCGGACCUGCGGAGGGAUCAUUACUGGGUUUUUGGGCUCUGCCCGCCACCCGCCCUCUGUUAUUCGUACUGUUGUUUCGGCCAGUGGGGGCGACCCCCGGCCGGCAGUAACUCUGAAGCAUCUUGAAGUCUGAUAAACUGUCAAUAAAAAAAACUUUUAGCAAUGGAUCUCU
rnacentral:misc_RNA from 1 species